rnacentral:rRNA from 1 species
UGGGGAAUCUUGCCCAAUGGGCGAAAGCCUGAGGCAGCAACGCCGCGUGCGGGAUGACGGCCUUCGGGUUGUAAACCGCUUUCAGCAGGGACGAAAUUGACGGUACCUGCAGAAGAAGCUCCGGCCAACUACGUGCCAGCAGCCGCGGUAAUACGUAGGGAGCGAGCGUUGUCCGGAUUUAUUGGGCGUAAAGAGCGCGUAGGCGGUUCGGUAAGUCGGAUGUGAAAACUCCAAGCUCAACUUGGAGCCUGCAUCCGAAACUGCUGUGACUAGAGUCAGGUAGGGGAACACGGAAUUCCAGGUGUAGCGGUGAAAUGCUUAGAUAUCUGGAGGAACACCAGUGGCGAAGGCGGUGUUCUGGGCCUGUACUGACGCUGAGGCGCGAAAGCGUGGGGAGCGAACAG